UAUCUUCUUCUUUUUAUUUAUUUAAA
rnacentral:sRNA from 1 species